GGCACUCUUCCUUUAGUCAAAUUUGAGUUCAAUGCUAGGGGUCCCACAUUUUUCAAAUUGAAGCCUCUACAUGAACCUUAACAGUAGAUGAUGACAGCCCGUCGCGAAGAAUUGGAGAGCUGUCAACACUGACCGCAAAGGUGGCACCGGCAAUGACCGACGAGUCGGUGUGUCUAAGUCAUUGAAUACAACUCCCACGAUGAAAUGAAUCGUUUCCGGACGAAAUCUGUACCUUUCUCUGACCUCUUCGGCCGAUAAGACUUCUAGCGGGUUGCUUCGAUCAGCAAAAACGCGUUCAAUCGGCUGACGCCUUCUCAAACGAUUAAUGUGAUCAACGAAAGCGGCCAUGUUUGAGUACUGCUUUAUAACUUGAGACAGAUACAUCUUCAACGAACCUGCCCAACAUUAAAGCAAAAGGUAAAUUGACUUCUCUACCGAACAUCAUAUGACAAGGGAAAAAAACGGUGGAUUCCUGAACUGAUGACCUGUAUGCUAACAUUAAUAGCGAUUUAAGCAUCAUUGAGGUAUCUUGCUAAGGGAUAUUUUUACUCCGAAGUUGGUGAUAUCCAUGGAAUAAGCAAGUCAAGCUUCUGUCGGACUUUACAGAAGUUAAUCUCAGCUGUAAAUCAAAAGUUGAAAAAUAUCAGAUUUCAACAAUGACCAGCUGGUCUGCUUGUCAAGAAGGAAUUUUUCAGGAAAUGUCAGCUGUCGAAUGAAGUUUGAGCAGUUGACGGGACCCUUGUUCCCAUUAUCAAACCUGCUGAGUCUGAAGAGGCCUAGGUGUGCAUGAAAGGAUUCCGUGCCAUUAAUGUGCAGGCUGUCGUUGACGCCAACAUGAGAUGUCGUGUCAAGAUUGCCUGGUGCGACACAUGAUGCUUCGGUGUUUGAUAGCAGUGAUUUAAAGCAAUAUCUAAGCACCAAUGAUGUGGGUCAUCUGCUGGAGGAUAGUGGAUAUACAUUAAGGACUUACCUGAUGACCCCUGUACCUCAUCCCUCCAAUGCUGUUGCUGAAACAGGCAAUGGGGUAUGUUGGACAAGUGGAGAUGGAAAUGCAAUUGGAAGAGGAUGAUUUCGAGCCCAUGGAAGAGGAUCAACUAUGUAAAAAAUGAAAAUUGAACACACC